CCCUUAGAUGUUCUGGGCCGCACGCGCGCUACACUGACUGACUCAACGAGUGUACAACCUGCUUCGACAGAAGUGGGUAAUCUUUUGAAAUUCAGUCGUGAUGGGGCUAGAUUAUUGCAACUAUUAAUCUUCAACGAGGAAUGCCUAGUAAGCGCGAAUCAUCAGUUCGCGUUGAUUACGUCCCUGCCCUUUGUACACACCGCCCGUCGCUCCUACCGAUUGAAUGGUCCGGUGAAAUCUCCGGACUGGCGUGAGUCGGAGCAAUCUGACAAACGCCGGAAAGUUGAUUAAACCUUACCAUUUAGAGGAAGGUGAAGUCGUAACA
rnacentral:rRNA from 1 species